rnacentral:miRNA from 1 species
UUGGCCAAAAAGUUUGUUCUGGUUUUUCCAUAACAUCUUAGGGAAAAACCCCAUAGAGCUUUUUGGCCAA